rnacentral:tRNA from 1 species
GCCCUUGUAGCUCAGUGGCAGUAGCGCCAGUUUCGUAAACUGGAGGUCGAGGGUUCAACUCCCUCCAAGGGCU